rnacentral:rRNA from 1 species
GACGAACGCUGGCGGCGUGCUUAACACAUGCAAGUCGAACGGAAAGGCCCUGCUUUUGUGGGGUGCUCGAGUGGCGAACGGGUGAGUAACACGUGAGUAACCUGCCCUUGACUUUGGGAUAACUUCAGGAAACUGGGGCUAAUACCGGAUAGGAUCUCCUGCUGCAUGGUGGGGGUUGGAAAGUUUCGGCGGUUGGGGAUGGACUCGCGGCUUAUCAGCUUGUUGGUGGGGUAGUGGCUUACCAAGGCUUUGACGGGUAGCCGGCCUGAGAGGGUGACCGGCCACAUUGGGACUGAGAUACGGCCCAGACUCCAACGGGAGGCAGCAGUGGGGAAUAUGGCACAAUGGGCGGAAGCCUGAUGCAGCAACGCCGCGUGCGGGAUGACGGCCUUCGGGUUGUAAACCGCUUUCGCCUGUGACGAAGCGUGAGUGACGGUAAUGGGUAAAGAAGCACCGGCUAACUACGUG